rnacentral:rRNA from 1 species
AUAGGAGACAAGAAGGCAUCUUCUUGUUUUUAAAAGACCUAGCAAUAGGUAUGCUUAGGGAGGAGCUUGCGUCACAUUAGUUAGUUGGUGGGGUAAAGGCCUACCAAGACUAUGAUGUGUAGCCGGGCUGAGAGGUUGAACGGCCACAUUGGGACUGAGACACGGCCCAAACUCCUACGGGAGGCAGCAGUAGGGAAUUUUCGGCAAUGGAGGAAACUCUGACCGAGCAACGCCGCGUGAACGAUGAAGUAUUUCGGUACGUAAAGUUCUUUUAUUAGGGAAGAAUAAAUGAUGGAAAAAUCAUUCUGACGGUACCUAAUGAAUAAGCCCCGGCUAACUAUGUGCCAGCAGCCGCGGUAAUACAUAGGGGGCAAGCGUUAUCCGGAAUUAUUGGGCGUAAAGGGUGCGUAGGCGGUUAAAUAAGUUUAUGGUCUAAGUGCAAUGCUCAACAUUGUGAUGCUAUAAAAACUGUUUAGCUAGAGUAAGAUAGAGGCAAGUGGAAUUCCAUGUGUAGUGGUAAAAUGCGUAAAUAUAUGGAGGAACACCAGUAGCGAAGGCGGCUUGCUGGGUCUUUACUGACGCUGAGGCACGAAAGCGUGGGGAGCAAACAGGAUUAGAUACCCUGGUAGUCCACGCCGUAAACGAUGAGUACUAAACGUUGGGUAAAACCAGUGUUGAAGUUAACACAUUAAGUACUCCGCCUGAGUAGUACGUACGCAAGUAUGAAACUUAAAGGAAUUGACGGGACUCCGCACAAGCGGUGGAUCAUGUUGUUUAAUUCGAAGGUACCCGAAAAACCUCACCAGGUCUUGACAUGCUUCUGCAAAGCUGUAGAAACACAGUGGAGGUUAUCAGUUGCACAGGUGGUGCAUGGUUGUCGUCAGCUCGUGUCGUGAGAUGUUGGGUUAAGUCCCGCAACGAGCGCAACCCUUAUUGUUAGUUACCAGCACGUAAUGGUGGGGACUUUAGCAAGACUGCCAGUGAUAAAUUGGAGGAAGGUGGGGACGACGUCAAAUCAUCAUGCCCCUUAUGACCUGGGCUACAAACGUGAUACAAUGGCUGUUACAAAGGGUAGCUGAAGCGCAAGUUUUUGGCGAAUCUCAAAAAAACAGUCUCAGUUCGGAUUGAAGUCUGCAACUCGACUUCAUGAAGUUGGAAUCGCUAGUAAU